CCCCUCCCCGGAGCCCGGAAUGGAUCCGUCCCGGAAAUAAAUAAAUAAACCCGCGGCUGCUCCGGGUGUGUGCUGCGCGCACCUGAGGCCGACCUGUGAUUCACCGCGGGAGGGAUGGCAGUGACAACGCUCCGGGGAAGUCCACAGUGACUCCUCCGCCAGGACGCCGCUGGUUGUAUAGGAAAAGCACGCGGACGGGAAGCCACACUCACCGAAAACCUCAGUAAACUAAAUUUAUGAGUUUACAUCUGUUCCAUCAAUGACCACGGUGCACACCUGUUUGGCUUCAUGGCCGGCAACUACAGAUCUAGGUAUCCAAGAUCAAGAGGGACAAUUACAUAUUAUAAGCCGCACAGAGAAGAGUAAUCAAGGUGGACAUGAACUUGUGCUAUAUAAGUUAUGGGUUGAAGAACUCUGUGGAAAGUAGAGAAGAAAAAAUUUAGGGAACAAGCAGUAGUUGAAUACAGCUAUGUGAAACUAUGAGAACUAUGUGAAAGAGUGUUUGGAUCCAAAGAUGAAAGAGCUGACACAAGAGUGGAUUUUCUGAGAGCUGUUUGAGCAGAGAAAACUUGAAGGAGAUACAGUGAGUAGAACACAACCUGUAGGUGGUUUGAAGACCUGAGGACUCCAAUACCUCCCAACUCUCAUAUUCUCUAUAGUUUUUCUAGAAAAGCCCAUGUAUUGGGGCAUAACCUAUAAAGAUGAUAGCAACUAAAAUGGAUAAAUCAAUGACAUAAAAUGUU